ACAACUCUUGAGCGAGGGCUCUUCUGCGGGACCCUACCCAGAACACCAUUCUUAGCACAGACCCCCGUGAGGCCCCUGGCAGAUCUGUGACGAAGUUUUUCACAAUGCCAGAGCCUGCUGCCUAGGCCCUCGCAGGCCCAUGUUCAAGGCUGUCACCUCCAGGUGUACAGCAGCAGCUCUGAGCAGGGGAGGGAGGGAGCCAGACAGCCACAUCUGAGUAGGAGGGUCUGCAAGGAAGGUGCUCCUCAGGCUGGAGCCCUUGGUGGGCCCAUGAAAGGCUCUGUGCCCAAGGCCCCCACACGCCCACGUCAAGGGCUGUUCCCUCAAAGCCACCUUCGAACUGGGGGUGGCGGGGUGGGCAGCUAGGAGUCAGCGUGGAUGUGUGCACAUAGGAGGAUGCAUGAGAAGGUGCCUGUAGGGCCGAGGUCCCAGGCCGAUGAGCAUAGGAGACCUGUGUAGUAGACCGACUCCCAGCAUCUGCUCUGCCUGGGGCCUACCACAGGCCCCAGGGAGGGACCAUGGCUGGGAGGGCUUUCAAGGUCCCACAGUAGGUUAGGAGAGUGGGCACGGCCUCGUGUGGAAGGCGACCAGAAGGGCUCCUUCCAGAGGGCCCCCCUCAAUCCUGUUGUGCUCACUUCAGAGGGUUGGGUGGAGGCUCUCCCGAAGGGGCUCUGAAGAGCUGCACGUCCACAGGCCUGUGUUGAUCCGUGUGAGAGAAGGGCCAUGGUCCUCUGCCUGGUGGCCACCCUGCUCCCGCCCUGGUCAGUCCCCCACCGAGCCAGAGGCAUGGCCAUCCCCUCGCCUCCAGAUCUCCAGCAGCCCAGGGCCUGAGCUCCUACCACCUUUACAAUGAUCUUCUACCACCCCGCUGCCGCCUCCAGGAAGCCUCCCACUGUCCAUGGCUUCACAGCACCCAGGCCCUUUGGACUGUGGCUGGAUGAUUCCUCGAUUGUCUACCUCUGUCAGACUGAGCUCCAGGGGCAACACCUCAGCUGCUUCGUGGGUUAUUGAGUUGUCUUGUCUCCGUGCAUGGCACAGAGUCGGUGCCUAAUAAAUUUGUGUAGAAGGAGUGGUUGAUGUCUUUCUCUUACUCAUUCUGCAGAGCUCCCAGCACUUCACUUGGUGAAGCCCACAAAUCCAGCAUGCGGCCCAUUCUCACUUUACUUCUUCAGCUUCUAAUGUAGUCACUGCUUGGGCAUUACACAGGAAGAUGGACAACCUCCGCCUCCACCCAGACAACGCUGGCCCCUGCACCUCUUCUCGUUCCAGUGGGCAUUUCCUUCAAGCGAUUGCCAUAGCUUGCUUUCAUAGCGUGACAUUACCUCCCCGUCUUCUCGGCUCCCCGCUGCAUUUCAGCCCCCACAGGACAGCUGUGCCUUUCUCACCCGCUCAACAGAGUAGACAUUCAGGUAAUUGCUGGAUGAAUGGACAGACAGCAGAAGGAUUCACAGACACAGACAAGGCAGGCCUACAGCUCUCGCUGCUCCCAGCCCGACUGCAGACCUGGUCUCCCUUUCUCAGCCAUACCGCCUGUCCCACAGCAGAGCUCCAGCUAAGUGCCAGCCAUGCGUGGGUCUGGGAGAUGUCAGCCCAUGAAGAGGCAAGACUCCCUUCCCAUUGGAGUUUACUUCUAGUGUUGAAGAUUGGAAUCAAGACACGUUGCAAGAAGACACUCUGGAAGCCCAGAGCACUUCCUGUGAGAUGCCUGGGGCACCGGUGCCCUUGUCCUCCUGCUACAAGGGGUCACCUCAGCCAGCCUUUCACUUUCCUCCACCCAUCAGUGCCACUCCAGCCUGCCUCUCCAGAAGCUUUGGUGCAGGGAUCACGAGGCUAAGGGGCGAACUUGUGAGUUAACCACAGAGACGGCUGCCUCGUUCCCAUGGAGAAACCAGGUCCCAGCCCUAGGCCUUCCAUGACAACCGUGGACUCAUCCCUCCCUUGUGGAGAGCUCACAUUUCCUGUAAACACACCUGACAGGGGCAACUGGUCUCUAGCAACAAAGAGGUGGGCAGUGCUGGGGAGAUUUUUUUGGAAAGACCAGAGGUCAGUAAAUGGG
rnacentral:lncRNA from 1 species